CCCUGUUAAUGAUUUUUCGACGUAGGGCUGUUGGACUGUCGGACACACUUUCCUUUGCCCCAGGGCCGCAUUCUAAGAACUCGCUGCAAAGUCAGCAGGUGGAGCUGGAUUGCUGUGCCUGAGACCCCAGCCUUGGAAAAAAAAAAAAAAGAAACCCUAAAACAUUAAGCAACAAUUACGUGGGGGAAAAGCUUGAGUGAUACGGUAACACAGGUUUUUUUUUUUAAUUAAAUACGAAUCUGCACCUUUUGCAGAAAUGUUUUAUUGCAACUGCGGACAGAAAGGGAAAAGGUUACGUCCUCAUGCUUGGGACCCAGGAAAAGGCACAGGGAUCUUAGUUCAGAGGUGCCUCCAAAGUUGGCCCCAGAGCUCCGGGACCCUGGCGCGUUCUGGAAGUGCCCCGCGGCACCGCCGGGGGAGCUUCUCACCGGGAGCCGGAGCAGCCUCCGGGAGUGUCUCUCUCCCUUCUGACCCCAGCGGGUUUUUCUGCGGGCGGAUGCAGCAGGGGCUGGUGGGCACUAGGGGGUGCUCCACGCCCCCACCCCACCCCCAACCCUCCCAACAAAUAGGGCUUAACUCUGGAGGACUCUCCUGUCUGGCGGGGGCGGGGGUGGGGUAGGUAAUGACAGUUAAAAUAGCGCAGUCCAAAACUGGUCCGGCGGGCGGCGGUAGCGCCCCCUCUCCCCGCUUCCGUCCCCCUCUCCCCGGGGGUCACUCUGUCCCUCCCCCCUCCCGCCCUCUCCUCCGCCCUCCCCCUCCUCCUCCUCCUCCUGGGGAGUCAGGCACUAGCUGCGAUUGCUCCCUCUCUGCAGCUCGCGUCAGUUUCCCUCUCCCGCGGAGGGAGCAGCAGCGGCGGCGGCGGCGGCGGCAGCUGCAGCGGCGGCGGCAGCACCAGCGGCUGAGUGGGCAGAGGCGGCGGGAGAGACGUCUACAGCGGCUGCAGCCACAGCUCCCCGGGCUCCCCGGCUCGGAGCGCGCAGCCCUCCCGCCCGGGUCUCCUCCUCGCGUCCCCUGCGCGUGUCCUGGAGCGCCCCGGGCUGAGCGGCGGCACAGCGCGCCCCGACUCCCCCUGGCCGCGAGUGGGGGCCCCCUGCCGAAGCCGCUCCCCGCCGGGCUGCGGACCCCGGCCACCCGGGGGCAUCCUCCGGCGGGGCAGCGGGGCGGGACCAUGAGGAGGCUGAACCGCCGGCUGGCGCUCACUCUCUUCGGGGUGCUCUGGAUCGCGGCACUGCUGCUGCUAUGGGGAGUCCAGAGGAAGUUGGAGGUGGCUCCAGGACCCGAAGGGCAGACCCCCAAGCAACAUCCUGGCAGAAGACCUGGAAUCAGGAGAUGGAAAGGAGGAGGAAUGUGGUGUAAUGGAAAAGGAACUGGCUUUGGAGGGAGAAUCCUUUGACUCAGAUCCUGGCAUGGAUACCUAUGUGACUG
rnacentral:lncRNA from 1 species